GACGAACGCUGGCGGCGUGCCUAACACAUGCAAGUUGAGCGACGAACCAGGGCUUGCCCUGGGGCAAAGCAGCGAACGGGUGAGUAACACGUGGGUAACCUACCCCGAUAACCGGGACAACCCGAGGAAACUCGGGCUAAUACCGGAUGUGCUCACUGGACUUCGGUUCAGUGCGUAAAGGAAGCUUCGGCCUCCGUAUCGGGAGGGGCCCGCGGCCCAUUAGUUUGUUGGUGAGGUAGCGGCCCACCAAGACCGCGAUGGGUAGCUGGUCUGAGAGGACGAUCAGCCACACUGGGACUGAGACACGGCCCAGACUCCUACGGGAGGCAGCAGUGGGGAAUCUUGCGCAAUGCGCGAAAGCGUGACGCAGCAACGCCGCGUGGGGGAAGAAGGCCUUCGGGUUGUAAACCCCUUUCAGGAGGGACGAAGGUUCGGCGGUGAAUAGCCGGCCGGACUGACGGUACCUCCACAAGAAGCCCCGGCUAACUACGUG
rnacentral:rRNA from 1 species